CUCCAUCCGUCUCCUCUGCCCUAUGUGAAGACGCGCUCCUCCUCCGCCUCAACCUGCUCCUCCACGGCGCUCACCGCCGCCUCGCCGCGCCUCUCAUUCAACUCUUCUUCCCUCAAGGCUCUCCAGGGCCUCCUCCGCUCUGACCCGGCCGCGCCCUCCUCGUCCCCGCCGCAGCCGCCGCACACGGCCCCGUGCUCCCCUUCCGCCGCCCGCGUUUUCCACCGCGUCCGCGUGGCCGCCUCAGCCCUCCGCGUGCUCCGCACCCUUCAGGCACCGCCCGCCGCCGCCGAAGCCGACCGCCGCGUCUCCCCCGUCUCCGGGGGUCCUUCCUGUUCGCGCCGGCGGCGGCUUUGGAGUUUUCGGGGGCGUUUCUUGGGUGGCUGGCCGAGCCAUUUCUCUAGCCACCGUGACACCGCGAGGAAGCCUCGCGUCCGGUUAAGGAGCUUAUGUGCUUUGGUGCCACACCCACCCGGUGGUUUUCAGGUCUGACUGAAACUGAGAUUGGUCUGGAUGGAAUCCCUAUGGUUGAUCCCAGUAGGCCAGUACAAACAGGACCCUAAGGAUUUAUCCCCUCGAUACACUGACGAAAUGGGAGGUUUUGGAUUCAACUGUAAUUGUGAUUUGCGCGAAAACUUUGGUAUACAUUGAAGCAAAGCUAACAAGGCUGAAGUCGAACAACUAUACCUCCAAUGCUUUGCUUGAUACUGUGACAGUAGCAACAUUCCAGGUACUGGAGCAAGAUUUCUUAUAUCUGGGUGAGGGCACCAAUCAAUGUUGGGACAAGGAAUCUCAUCACUGCAACAAUAUAUAGCUACCACAUUGGACCAGGAAGCAAACAAAAGGACUGCACUCACACGGAACCAUGAAGCCAACGAUCUAUGUCAACCAGAUGUUUUAGAUUUCAUUUUGUACAAUUGAUGUCCCAUAUGUUUUACCUUCUGUGAACCUGGUGCAUGGUGUCAUGGUGGUUAUGUUUAGAACAGACUGAAGUGUAUGUAUGUUACAAAUAGUUAAUGGAAUAAAAAAAUGUUUGUUGCACCUGA